GUGCUCGCUUUGCACAUGUACUAAAAUUGGAACAAAACAGAGAAGAUUAGCAUGGCCCUUGUGCAAGGAUGACAUGCAAUUUCAUGAAGCGUUCCAUAUUUUU
ensembl:snRNA U6 U6 spliceosomal RNA